rnacentral:lncRNA from 13 species
CUCCACCAACUAGCACAUCCCAAUUGCGAAUAUUGUACUCCUGGGAUCAAAAGUUGGAGCUGUCUUAGAACCAUGUUAGAUUAAGGAGCCAUACCUGGGGGAAAGAGUAAGAGUGUGAGGUCUGUGAAAAAUCUCUUGUUGGGCCGGGCGCGGUGGCUCAAGCCUGUAAUCCCAGCACUUUGGGAGGCCGAAGCGGGUGGAUCAUGAGGUCAAGAGAUCGAGACCAUCCUGGUCAACAUGGUGAAACCCCAUCUCUACUAAAAAUACAAAAAAUUAGCUGGGCAUGGUGGUGCGUGCCUAUAAUCCCAGCUACUCAGGAGGCUGAGGCAGGAGAAUUGCCUGAACCCAGGAGGCGGAGGUUGCGGUGAGCUGCGAUUGCACCAUUGCACUCCAGCCUGGGUAACAAGAGUGAAACUCCAUCUCAAAAAGAAAAAUCUCUUGCUUCCAAGGCUUGUUGAAUUUUAAUAUUUUUGACCUGUAGAGAAUCAGAGAUGGAGAGGAUAUGUAAAUAAGGCUAGCAUUUCAGCAACAAUUCUUCAAUCAUACAUAGGGAUGGAGACCAAAAAAAGUCACAACCUCAUGGUUCUUGCAAUUAAUUUUCCUUUUCUUUUUUCUUUUUUCUUUUUUUUGAGACUGGAGUCUCACUCUGUCACCCAGUCUGGAGUGCAGUGGCACAGUCUCAGCUCACUGCAACAUCAGAUUCGAGUUCAAGUGAUUCUGCCUCAGCCUCCCAAGUAUGCUGGGAUUAUAGGUGUGAGCCACCACGCUCAGCCAUGAUUGCCAUGUUUGAUUUGUCUUAUACCUCUGGAUGUCUACAAGAAGCCAGAGAGGAGUAUCAUCCUAUCUUCCACAUGAAAAUUUGAUUGUUGUGAGUGAAGCUUGGAACAUAUUAAAAUGCCUCUUCUCCACCAGGUACGGUGGCUCACGUUUAUAAUCCCAGCACUUUGGGAGCCCAAGGCGGGUGGAUCACGAGGUCAAGAGAUUGAGACCAUCCUGGUCAACAAGGUGAAACCCUCUCUCUACUAAAAAUGACAAAAAUUAGCUGGGCAUGGUAGUGCGCGCCUAUAGUCCCAGCCACUCGGGAGGCUGAGGCAGGAGAAUUGCUUGAACCCAGAAUGCGGAGGUUGCAGUGAGCCGAGAUCGUGCCAUUACACUCCAGCCUGGGUAACAACAGCGAAACUCCGUCUCAAAAAAUAAUAAUAAUAAAAUAAAAUGCCUCUUCUCUUUUUUUGUUUUA